rnacentral:tRNA from 1 species
UAAAAGUGUCUAGUGGACAUGGCAUCUGCCCGGUAAGCGGAACGUUGUGGGUUCGUUUCCCGCCUCUGGACACUUUUAU